rnacentral:misc_RNA from 1 species
AAGUCGUAACAAGGUCUCCGUAGGUGAACCUGCGGAGGGAUCAUUACCGAGUGAGGGCCGCAAGGCCCGACCUCCAACCCUUUGUAUUACCGCCCGCUGUUGCCUCGGGGACGUGCCUCACGAGCCCGGCAGGACCGACACAACUCUGCAUCUUUGCGUCGGGUAAAUGUAAAGAAUAAAUUAAAA